AUCGAACGCUGGCGGCAGGCUUUACACAUGCAAGUCGAACGGUCAUAGCACUAUGUCAGUUGCCGACUGGUGAGUAACUCGUGGGUACGUCCCUUUUGGUUCGGAACAACACAGGGACACUUCUGCUACUAUCGGAUUAGUCCUUACGGGCAAAGAUUUAUCGCCGAAAGCUCGGCCGCCAUCUGAUUAGCUAGUUGGUAGGGUAAUGGCCUACCAAGGCGACGAUAUGUAGCUGGUCUGAGAGGAUGAGCAGCCACAUUGUGACUGAGACACGGCCCAAAAUCCUAGGGGAGGCAGGAGUGGGGAAUAUAGGAAAAUGGGCGAAAGGCUGAACCAGCCAGGCUGGGUAAGUGAUGAAGGCAGUAGGGAUGUAAAGCUCGUUUGUGCGGGAAGAUAAUGACGGUACCGGAAGAAUAAGCCCCGGCUAACUUCGUG
rnacentral:rRNA from 1 species